rnacentral:rRNA from 1 species
CGGUACGUACUGGCAUUGUUGGUUUCUCCCUUCUGACGAACCAUGAUGUCAUUUAUUUGGUGUUGUGGGGAAUCAGGACUGUUACUUUGAAAAAAUUAGAGUGUUUAAAGCAGGCUCACGCUUGAAUACAUUAGCAUGGAAUAAUAAAAUAGGACGUUUGAUUCUAUUUUGUUGGUUUCUAGGAUCGACGUAAUGAUUAAUAGGGAUAGUUGGGGGCAUUAGUAUUCAAUUGUCAGAGGUGAAAUUCUUGGAUUUAUUGAAGACUAACUACUGCGAAAGCAUUUGCCAAGGAUGUUUUCAUUAAUCAAGAACGAAAGUUAGGGGAUCGAAGACGAUCAGAUACCGUCGUAGUCUUAACUAUGAACUAUGCCGACUAGGGAUCGGAUGAUGUUAAUUUUUUAAUGACUCAUUCGGCGCCUUACG